rnacentral:rRNA from 1 species
GCAUAUCAAUAAGCGGAGGAAAAGAAACCAACAGGGAUUGCCCUAGUAACGGCGAGUGAAGCGGCAACAGCUCAAAUUUGAAAUCUGGCUUUCGGGCCCGAGUUGUAAUUUGUAGAGGAUACUUUUGAUGCGGUGCCUUCCGAGUUCCCUGGAACGGGACGCCAUAGAGGGUGAGAGCCCCGUCUGGUUGGAUGCCAAAUCUCUGUAAAGUUCCUUCGACGAGUCGAGUAGUUUGGGAAUGCUGCUCUAAAUGGGAGGUAUAUGUCUUCUAAAGCUAAAUAUUGGCCAGAGACCGAUAGCGCACAAGUAGAGUGAUCGAAAGAUGAAAAGCACUUUGAAAAGAGAGUUAAAAAGUACGUGAAAUUGUUGAAAGGGAAGCGUUUAUGACCAGACUUGGACUUGGUUAAUCAUCUGGGGUUCUCCCCAGUGCACUUUUCCAGUUCAGGCCAGCAUCAGUUUUCGCCGGGGGAUAAAGGCUUCGGGAAUGUAGCUCUCUUCGGGGAGUGUUAUAGCCCGUUGUGUAAUACCCUGGCGGAGACUGAGGUUCGCGCUUCUGCAAGGAUGCUGGCGUAAUGGUCAUCAACGACCCGUCUUGAAACACGGACCAAGGAGUCGUCUUCGUAUGCGAGUGUUCGGGUGUCAAACCCCUACGCGUAAUGAAAGUGAACGCAGGUGAGAGCUUCGGCGCAUCAUCGACCGAUCCUGAUGUUCUCGGAUGGAUUUGAGUAAGAGCAUACGGGGCCGGACCCGAAAGAAGGUGAACUAUGCCUGUAUAGGGUGAAGCCAGAGGAAACUCUGGUGGAGGCUCGCAGCGGUUCUGACGUGCAAAUCGAUCGUCAAAUAUGGGCAUGGGGGCGAAAGACUAAUCGA